GUGUUUAUGUAAAGGAUACUCUGAUGAGUGAGGUGUAAGGUGUGAGUAGGUGUUUGGUGUAAGUAUGUGUUUAUGUAAAGGAUACUCUGAUGAGUGAGGUGUAAGGUGUGAGCAGGUGUUUGGUGUAAGUAUGUGUUUAUGUAAAGGAUACUCUGAUGAGUGAGAUGUAAGGUGUGAGUAGGUGUUUGGUGUAAGUAUGUGUUUAUGUAAAGGAUACUCUGAUGAGUGAGAUGUAAGGUGUGAGUAGGUGUUUGGUGUAAGUAUGUGUUUAUGUAAAGGAUACUCUGAUGAGUGAGAUGUAAGGUGUGAGUAGGUGUUUGGUGUAAGUAUGUGUUUAUGUAAAGGAUACUCUGAUGAGUGAGGUGUAAGGUGGCUCUGCCUAAGUUCCU
ensembl:lncRNA